rnacentral:lncRNA from 1 species
UUGUUAAUUGAACAUUUAUACUUGUUCAAAUUUUAUAUAUUAAAUUCUUUUCUAAAGAAGUCAAUGAUGCGUGCAAUACAAUCGUCUUCACGUUGGACUUCACAUCAUUAUUUAGUGCCACAUAAGAAAUAUUAUGUUAAAAGUUAAAUUAAAAAAAAAACCCAAACACUAUUUCCCUCAUUUUACACAAAUUGUUUCUCUUUCAUCCUUUAUUUCUCAUUCUGCGCUCUAUCUCUUCUUCAUCUUCGUGUGUUUUUACUGAACUUCGUAGGAUUUUGAAUGUAUUUAAUGUGUUUAGGAUGAAAAGAGUAAUAGGAAUUUGAAUGUAAUUGUAUGUAGAUGAAGAGAGUGAGAUACAGGCGCCAAAACCACUAUGCUAUCAGAAGCUAAUGACUGGCAGAUUGAAAUUGGACCAAGUUUUGGCAGACUCAGUAAAUGACAAGCCUGUACUAUUUUUUUUCUGGCUUUUUUUGUGUUCGCAUAGAAUAUUAUAGUUUGUGCAAAUCAGAAUAUUGUCAUUAUUGUAGGCUUGGUAAUGGUAGGAAGCCAAAUUAGUCUCCUGAAUUUUCAAUUUUUUUGUCAAGUAUGUUGGAUUUCAUUCUGGGUUGUGGUCCAUCAAGUUAUAUCAUAAUAUUAUGGUAUUUUUGGAGAAUAUAGAGAAAUCUUGGAUGCUUUUUAGAUUAAAAAGUUAGGUGGUUUCAUUUGUUUCUCACGGAGUCCCUUAAAAGUAUAAUUUUAUCUGGGAGAUUCCAAACAAGGACGAAAAAGUUAGAAAAAAUUAAGGGAAAGAAGAGGUGGUUUUGCUAAUACCCAAAAUGAGCUCCAGGCAGGUUCAACAAUGG